GCAGAGUAAAAAUGUACUCCUACAAACAAGCCUUCCCUAUGGAGCCAAUGGGCAGAUGUGGCUUCCUUGGACUACGUUAACCUUAACAAGGACACAAGAAACCUGAUGAGAAGGGCCAGUGGAGAGCAUCAGGAGCAGCAUCCCUGGCAAGAGGAGGGAAAAAAAGUACUUGGGUCUGUGAAGAAAUAUUUGGAACAAGGAUAUCCUGCCAGUGAAAAGAAGUUCUACAAUUGGGAAAGGCAAAAAAACAGCCAGUGUAACCACAAUGCUGGAUUUCCUACGGAGAUAACCAUCAUUGAUGCACAAAGCUCCUGUGUUCCUUCAAUUAACAUACUGUAGGUGGAAGCCAAAAACACUGGAUAAUGAAACUGACCAAAACCAUCUCCCUGCACCUUGCUCAAAAUGCCAAGUCACUGUGAUGGAAGGGAAGUCUCUGCCUUGCAGUGCUGCCCAGCAGGAGUGAUGUACACAUCUC
rnacentral:lncRNA from 1 species